AGAAAUACAUCACAACCUACAGCUAGAUCCGAGCAACCUAAUUCAAUCUUAAUAGCAUAUAACAUGUGUUUCACCAAAUUCGGAUUCCAGAUUUCCAAGGCCUUCUCGUAUUCAAAGUGUUUUAAAGUUCCAAAGAGCUUCAAGAGCCCCAGGUAAUGCUUACAUGCUGAAUAACAAUUGUUGUAGCAGAAUAGUGCAGCAUGGAAUUACCAACCCUCAGGCAUCUAAGUUCAUAGGAAACUCCAUGGUCCAAAGCAUGGCUUAACAAAGGGGGGCAGAACUUAGAACUAGGAAUGAGUGCAAAGUGAGAGAGGGAGCCAUAACAAAGGGUGGUCAUAACCAGUCAUGGGCAUGGACUGGCACAACCCUGACCAUCUGCUUGGUCCAAGAAAAUAAAGAGCAAACUUUUAGAAGUAAAACUUGGGUCUGGAUGGUGAUUAUGACACCAUCAGACCUGAGAUAAGGCUCAGCACGUAAGGGGUAAAGGGAAUGGGGAAUUGACUUGAGUGGACGUUCAAGAGAGAACCUGAUUCUGAGUCAUGAGUGGCAAUAAUAGAAUACCAACAUGACUCAGAAUUACUUACACAUAAGAGGGGGUCAAAGGGAAGGGGUACCACAUAAGAAAACAUGCAGAAAGCAAAAGGCAUAACAGACUUGAAGGUGCAGAACAUGCAUAACAGAAGAAGGAAAAUAAACACAUAGUCAGGAGGGUAGUAUUUAACUAGGGACACAUACCAGAUGCAAUUUUUAGAACAGCAGAAUAACAAUAGCAGGUAAAUAGCCUGAGAGUCAGCAGGAGCAAACUCAUAAAC
rnacentral:lncRNA from 1 species